rnacentral:rRNA from 1 species
CCUACGGGGGGCUGCAGUGGGGAAUAUUGCACAAUGGGCGCAAGCCUGAUGCAGCCAUGCCGCGUGUGUGAAGAAGGCCUUCGGGUUGUAAAGCACUUUCAGCGGGGAGGAAGGCGGUGAGGUUAAUAACCUCAUCGAUUGACGUUACCCGCAGAAGAAGCACCGGCUAACUCCGUGCCAGCAGCCGCGGUAAUACGGAGGGUGCAAGCGUUAAUCGGAAUUACUGGGCGUAAAGCGCACGCAGGCGGUCUGUCAAGUCGGAUGUGAAAUCCCCGGGCUCAACCUGGGAACUGCAUUCGAAACUGGCAGGCUAGAGUCUUGUAGAGGGGGGUAGAAUUCCAGGUGUAGCGGUGAAAUGCGUAGAGAUCUGGAGGAAUACCGGUGGCGAAGGCGGCCCCCUGGACAAAGGCUGACGCUCAGGUGCGAAAGCGUGGGGAGCAAACAGGAUUAGAUACCCGGGUAGUC